rnacentral:misc_RNA from 1 species
GAGACUGGGUGCUUCGGCGCCCGACCUCCAACCCCCUGUCUACCUUACCACUGUUGCCUCGGCGUCUCUGCCCACCUCCCCUCGUGGGUGGUGGGGGGUGCGCGCCGGCGGCCAAAAACAAAAACCCUUUUUUAAACCAAGCAAUCUGAGAAAUUAUUUUAAUAAUUACAACUUUCAACAACGGAUCUCUUGGUUCU